rnacentral:lncRNA from 1 species
AUUCUUCUCUUUUUUUCUUAUAUAUUAAAAUAAAUAAAAAAAUAUUUUUUUUAAAAAAUUUCUACUAGAGCAAAACGACGAUUGUUAGACACAAUCUAAAGCCUACAAGCCUGUAAGGUCAUUGACGAAGAAAUGGAUUCCAAUAGACAAUCUAGAACCCUUUUGGACCUGUGUUAUCUUAUUAGCUCUGUUCAACUGUCUAGAAUUAGAUCCUCAGCUAAUAAUUUUACAAUUGGCCCUCAAAUAAUUAACAUGCAUCCUACAUUCACUAAAAUUGAAGAUGCAUACGUUUAUUUAAGAGAGUUUGAAGAUACUAGAAUUGCAAUUUUGACCAGUAGAAUUGAAGCUUUAGAAUUCGAAAGAUAUAUCUAAUUUAACCAAGUACUAGCACCCAUGUGCAUUGGAUGCGAUGCACCAGAUUAUGUUAUGAAGUGUCCUUAUUUGAUGAACCCAACCCAAACUAAGUUCAUAUAGGAGAGUGCAUUCAAUGAAAGUUACAUAAAUGAACCUUAUGCACCAACCUAUAACCUAGGAUCAGGAAGUCAUCCUAAUUUUACAUGGUCACAAGAUGCAACACUAUGGGCCC